UGAUAACUGCAACUCUAAUUAUAGGCAA
rnacentral:piRNA from 1 species